UAGCACAUCUACUCGGACAGGACGAAUCACGGCCUCCACCAACUGACGAGGCUGUGUGACAGAACGAGGAUGAGGCACUUCGAAAGCCCUCCACCGUACGCUAGAAGUGGUCCUAUAGGAACUGCUUGGUUGAUCCGGAUCCAUAAUAUCUGGACAACAAGUCUCCAAAUCACCUCAGAAAGGAUGCAUUUCGUGCGAUAACUAACAAUCUAACAGACAUAAACUGGAAAAAAUACAUGCAUACGUUACCGUGAUAGUGUAAAACACUUGUACGGUAACAGAAUUUGCAGAAAGCAGCCCGAACUCAA
rnacentral:lncRNA from 1 species